CCGUGCAAAGGUAGCAUAAUCAUUUGUCUUUUAAUUGAAGACUAGAAUGAAUGGAUAAACAAGAAUAAAUCUGUCUUAAUUUAAAUUAUUAUAAAUUUAUAUUUAGGUGAAGAAUCCUAAAUAAAUCUAUAGGACAAAAAGACCCUAUUGAGCUUUAUUUAAUUUUAUAUAUAAAAUUUUUUUAAAAAGGUUUAUAUAAUAAUAAGAGUUUGGUUGGGGCGACAUAGGAAUAAAAAAAUCUUCUUAUAAGAAUAUAAAAAUAAUAAAUAUCCUAGAAAAAGAAAAAAAAUUAGUUACCAUAGGGAUAACAGGCUAAUCUUUAUUGAGAGUUCAUAUUAACAUAAAGGGUUGGCACCUC
rnacentral:rRNA from 1 species